GGGUUGUGAGGUUAAGCGACUAAGCGUACACGGUGGAUGCCCUGGCAGUCAGAGGCGAUGAAGGGCGUGCUAAUCUGCGAUAAGCGCCGGUAAGGUGAUAUGAACCGUUAUAACCGGCGAUACCCGAAUGGGGAAACCCAGUGUGACUCGUCACACUAUCAUUAACUGAAUCCAUAGGUUAAUGAGGCGAACCGGGGGAACUGAAACAUCUAAGUACCCCGAGGAAAAGAAAUCAACCGAGAUUCCCCCAGUAGCGGCGAGCGAACGGGGAGGAGCCCAGAGCCUGAAUCAGCAUGUGUGUUAGUGGAAGCGUCUGGAAAGGCGCGCGAUACAGGGUGACAGCCCCGUACACAAAAGCGCAUGUGCUGUGAGCUCGAUGAGUAGGGCGGGACACGUGGUAUCCUGUCUGAAUAUGGGGGGACCAUCCUCCAAGGCUAAAUACUCCUGACUGACCGAUAGUGAACCAGUACCGUGAGGGAAAGGCGAAAAGAACCCCGGCGAGGGGAGUGAAAAAGAACCUGAAACCGUGUACGUACAAGCAGUGGGAGCCCCACCACUAAGCCAGUGGUGAACUCCACAUACGCAUCCUUUGCUGAGGAUACGGUUAACGGAGCGAAAGCGACGUUCAACCGCAAAAGAAGCAGAGGGGGCUUAGUGGUGGGGUGACUGCGUACCUUUUGUAUAAUGGGUCAGCGACUUAUAUUCUGUAGCAAGGUUAACCGAAUAGGGGAGCCGGAGGGAAACCGAGUCUUAAUUGGGCGUUAAGUUGCAGGGUAUAGACCCGAAACCCGGUGAUCUAGCCAUGGGCAGGUUGAAGGUUGGGUAACACUAACUGGAGGACCGAACCGACUAAUGUUGAAAAAUUAGCGGAUGACCUGUGGCUGGGGGUGAAAGGCCAAUCAAACCGGGAGAUAGCUGGUUCUCCCCGAAAGCUAUUUAGGUAGCGCCUCGUGAAUUCAUCUCCGGGGGUAGAGCACUGUUUCGGCUAGGGGGCCAUCCCGGCUUACCAACCCGAUGCAAACUGCGAAUACCGGAGAAUGUUAUCACGGGAGACACACGGCGGGUGCUAACGUCCGUCGUGAAGAGGGAAACAACCCAGACCGCCAGCUAAGGUCCCAAAGUCAUGGUUAAGUGGGAAACGAUGUGGGAAGGCCCAGACAGCCAGGAUGUUGGCUUAGAAGCAGCCAUCAUUUAAAGAAAGCGUAAUAGCUCACUGGUCGAGUCGGCCUGCGCGGAAGAUGUAACGGGGCUAAACCAUGCACCGAAGCUGCGGCAGCGA
rnacentral:rRNA from 1 species